rnacentral:rRNA from 1 species
CACAAGCGGUGGAUGAUGUGGAUUAAUUCGAUGCAACGCGAAAACCUUACCUACCCUUGACAUGUCCGGAAUCCCGAAGAGAUUUGGGAGUGCUCGCAAGAGAGCCGGAACACAGGUGCUGCAUGGCUGUCGUCAGCUCGUGUCGUGAGAUGUUGGGUUAAGUCCCGCAACGAGCGCAACCCUUGUCAUUAGUUGCCAUCAUUUGGUUGGGCACUCUAAUGAGACUGCCGGUGACAAACCGGAGGAAGGUGGGGAUGACGUCAAGUCCUCAUGGCCCUUAUGGGUAGGGCUUCACACGUCAUACAAUGGUCGGUACAGAGGGUUGCCAACCCGCGAGGGGGAGCUAAUCCCACAAAGCCGAUCGUAGUCCGGAUCGCAGUCUGCAACUCGACUGCGUGAAGUCGGAAUCGCUAGUAAUCGUGGAUCAGCAUGUCACGGUGAAUACGUUCCCGGGUCUU